UGUGUUGUCACAAUCAAUGUGAUUUUGCACGUGCAGCUGUCCCGCUGUUCUCUGAGAACAUCGUUUCUUUGUAGUCAGCUGCUGUUUCUGGCUCAUACACUCUUUCUGCCCUCUUUUUUUUUUGCAGCGAUGCUCUAGUCUUGGGAGGAAGGCAUAUGGUAUAUCUGUUUCAUUAGGGCUAAGCAUUAUGCAGCAUGUGCACUUGGUCCAGUGUGGAUCCCUUUGGAAAUCAUCAUCCACUGCAAACAGGAGCUCAUCAGAGAAGCAUCUUAAAAGUAAAGUUUGGAGUAAAUCUACUAUCAGAUUGCACCUUAGUAACAUCAGUGUGGUGCUGAGGAAUGUGGAGCUGUAGAAGAUAAACCCAUCAACAAUUCUGGAA